CUACGGGAGGCUUCAGUGAGGAAUUUUGCGCAAUGGGGGAAACCCUGACGCAGCAACGCUGCGUGAGCGAAGAAGGCCUUCGGGUCGUAAAGCUCUGUCAAGUGGGAAAAAAAUUCUUUGAUGAACAGUCAAAGGACUUGAUGGUACCACUGGAGGAAGCACCGGCUAACUCCGUGCCAGCAGCCGCGGUAAUACGGAGGGUGCAAGCGUUGUUCGGAAUUACUGGGCGUAAAGAGCGUGUAGGCGGUUUGACAAGUCAGAUGUGAAAGCCCCGGGCUCAACCCGGGAAGUGCAUUUGAAACUGUUUCACUAGAGUAUGGGAGAGGAGAUUGGAAUUCCUGGUGUAGAGGUGAAAUUCGUAGAUAUCAGGAGGAACACCCGUGGCGAAGGCGAUUCUCUGGACCAAUACUGACGCUGAGACGCGAAAGCGUGGGGAGCAAACAGGAUUAGAUACCCUUGUAGUC
rnacentral:rRNA from 1 species